rnacentral:rRNA from 1 species
AUGAACGCUAGCUACAGGCUUAACACAUGCAAGUCGAGGGGCAGCAUUUCAGUUUGCUUGCAAACUGGAGAUGGCGACCGGCGCACGGGUGAGUAACACGUAUCCAACCUGCCGAUAACUCGGGGAUAGCCUUUCGAAAGAAAGAUUAAUACCCGAUGGUAUAAUCAGACCGCAUGGUCUUGUUAUUAAAGAAUUUCGGUUAUCGAUGGGGAUGCGUUCCAUUAGGCAGUUGGUGAGGUAACGGCUCACCAAACCUUCGAUGGAUAGGGGUUCUGAGAGGAAGGUCCCCCACAUUGGAACUGAGACACGGUCCAAACUCCUACGGGAGGCAGCAGUGAGGAAUAUUGGUCAAUGGGCGCAGGCCUGAACCAGCCAAGUAGCGUGAAGGAUGACUGCCCUAUGGGUUGUAAACUUCUUUUAUAUGGGAAUAAAGUUUUCCACGUGUGGAAUUUUGUAUGUACCAUAUGAAUAAGGAUCGGCUAACUCCGUGCCAGCAGCCGCGGUAAUACGGAGGAUCCGAGCGUUAUCCGGAUUUAUUGGGUUUAAAGGGAGCGUAGGUGGACAGUUAAGUCAGUUGUGAAAGUUUGCGGCUCAACCGUAAAAUUGCAGUUGAUACUGGCUGUCUUGAGUACAGUAGAGGUGGGCGGAAUUCGUGGUGUAGCGGUGAAAUGCUUAGAUAUCACGAAGAACUCCGAUUGCGAAGGCAGCUCACUGGACUGCAACUGACACUGAUGCUCGAAAGUGUGAGUAUCAAACAGGAUUAGAUACCCUGGUAGUCCACACAGUAAACGAUGAAUACUCGCUGUUUGCGAUAUACAGUAAGCGGCCAAGCGAAAGCAUUAAGUAUUCCACCUGGGGAGUACGCCGGCAACGGUGAAACUCAAAGGAAUUGACGGGGGCCCGCACAAGCGGUGGAGCAUGUGGUUUAAUUCGAAGCAACGCGAAGAACCUUACCAGGGCUUGACAUAUGCAGGAAUAUACUAGAGAUAGUAUAGCUCUUCGGAGACUGUAUACAGGUGGUGCAUGGUUGUCGUCAGCUCGUGUCGUGAGAUGUUGGGUUAAGUCCCGCAACGAGCGCAACCCUUAUCUUUAGUUACUAACAGGUCAUGCUGAGGACUCUAGAGAGACUGCCGUCGUAAGAUGUGAGGAAGGUGGGGAUGACGUCAAAUCAGCACGGCCCUUACGUCCGGGGCUACACACGUGUUACAAUGGGGGGUACAGAAGGCAGCUACCUGGUGACAGGAUGCUAAUCCCAAAAGCCUCUCUCAGUUCGGAUCGAAGUCUGCAACCCGACUUCGUGAAGCUGGAUUCGCUAGUAAUCGCGCAUCAGCCAUGGCGCGGUGAAUACGUUCCCGGGCCUUGUACACACCGCCCGUCAAGCCAUGAAAGCCGGGGGUACCUGAAGUACGUAACCGCAAGGAGCGUCCUAGGGUAAAACUGGUAAUUGGGGCU